rnacentral:rRNA from 1 species
UACAGAGGUGGCAAGCGUUGUUCGGAAUUACUGGGCGUAAAGGGCGCGUAGGCGGCCUCGUAAGUCCCGUGUGAAAGCCCCCGGCUCAACUGGGGAAUUGCACGGGAAACUGCGGGGCUUGAGUUCGGGAGAGGGAAGCGGAAUUCCGGGUGUAGCGGUGAAAUGCGUAGAUAUCCGGAGGAACACCAGUGGCGAAGGCGGCUUCCUGGACCGACACUGACGCUGAGGCGCGAAAGCGUGGGGAGCGAACAGG